AUGACUGUUCCUGGUAUUGAUUGCAUUUGUUACUUGUACAAUGCAACUAUAAACAGUUACAUCAGACAUAGACAGUCUAUAUAGUUAACAGAUUUUCUGUGCAAUGGCUCCAUACAGG